rnacentral:lncRNA from 1 species
AUGGGUUGGAGUCGUUGUUGUCAGAGCCGGGAGAGCAAAGGGAGGAGAUAUAAUAAUUGCAGUGAUGAGUAUUCUUUUUGGUGCCAUAUCUAUGCAGCACCAGACCUGCAAAUAUUCAAUCAGGCAAAGGCAAAGGUCUUCCAAGUGAUCCAACGAAAGCCACUUAUACAUAACGAAUCAAAAAGGAAUAUUCAUACGAAGAUUAGCAGUUACAUUGAGCUUCAAGAUGUUCACUUUUCAUACCCGUCACGGCCAGAAAAAUAUAUCCUUCAAGGACUGUCCUUGUCCAUACCAGCAGGAAAGACGGUAGCUCUAGUUGGUAGCAGCGGCUGCGGAAAGAGCACUGCCAUUUCCCUGGAGAAAUUUUGA